AUGAAUCAUAUCAUCACUUGGCAUUCUAAAAAGGUAAUCUAUAUGAUAACGGUCCAUGUGGAUUAUCAUACAUAGGACGUACCGUUCGUCCACUUAAAGGAAGGAUACAAGAACAUAUUAGGAAUGUGAGGAAUGGUUACAUUAAACAUAGUGUAUCUCUCCAUUUUAAGACUCACCAUAAUAGUGACCCCACCAAAUUACCAUUUUUGAAUGAAGUGGUCUGGGUGCCAGGUCCCUCAGGUUUUAACCCAUCAGAUGUAAACAUAGCAGUUUCAGAGAAGCUGCAAUGUUUACAUUUGGGGUUAAUCCAACCUCUAGUGGCUGUCUUCAUGACAGCCGCUAGAGGCGCUUCUGCAAUGCUGGAUGCGAAAUUCGCAUCCAUCGCGCAGAGCAUCCAUAGGAAAGCAUUGAUAAAUGCUUUCCUAUGGACUGUUUGAAUGUGCGCAAGCCUCUUGCCCCGCAUUUGCAUUCCGCUCCACUCGUUAGCUGACAUCGGCGGGAGAGAAGAGGUCACCAGCGCCGAGGGAGCCUGGUGCUGGAUUAACGUACGCUGCUGAAGGGGUUUUAACCCCUUCAGCGCCGUUGGGAGGGGGGCCCUGAGGGUUGGGGCACCCUUAGGGCACUACAGUGUCAGGAAAACAGGUUUGUUUUCCUGACAGUGUAGUGAUCCUUUAAAAUAAAUUGGAGAGGUGAGGGCCUAAUUAAGAGAUUGGGAAUAUCAGAGAUAAAGUGGAUCUUCAACCUACGUACUUUACAAGCUCACGGUUUAAACAAUGAUUUUUAACUUUGUCACUUUCUGUAGUUAUUAUUAUCUCAGUUAAUUUUUAGAAAUGUUCCCUUUUUAUGGAGUGGUCAGAUAAGUUAAAUAAAUAUAUAUUUUAGUAUUGGUGUUGUAUGUACCUAUGACUUACUUGUUUCAGAUAGAAUUUAAACAAUCAUUAAGUAAAGGUUAUGUAUAUAAAAU